GUGGGAAGAGGUUUAAAAGAGCAGUGAGGGGAGAGGAGAAACCCAACACCACCACCUUUACAUUCAGAGUUUCUUGGGUUGUGGGUAAGUUGGAGACCACCGAAGGACAAAGAUGCAGGGGUGGCAGUGUCAGAGGGGGAGAGCCAGGUUUCUGUUAAGGCUAGUAAAUCUAUUGAAUGAGAGAUGAAGAAGUCAUGGACAGCAGUGGAUUUAGUUAUAUUGCAAACAGAGCGUGUGUUCC